rnacentral:lncRNA from 1 species
CAAUCCUCUUUGUCCUGGGCUUCCUCGUGCUGGUGCUGACCACCCUGGCCAUCGUGUUCCAGUCUGCUGGCCCCAAAAUUAGCCCCCUAAAGAGCUGGAAGCCACGAUGGAGGAGCCUGGGGGAGCCCCACGUCCCACCAGAGUACAUCCUCCUUAAGGACAGGUAAAGACCAGCCUCUGCAUGGUCCUACAAAAAACCUCCCCAAGAAAUUCAUCCUCUGCUUGAGCUGGGGUCUGAUCUCACUGAGAAAAAUGAGAUGCUCUUCACCCUCUUUGCCCUUCUCUCCAGCCUCAAGUUCUAUCAGAUGCUUGGUCCUCGUGGAUCUGGAGCAGAUGCUGGCUCUGGAGAGAGAGGAGCAGUGCCCAGUGCAGAGCACAGCUUCAGCCCCAGGCUCCUGGAGGAUUUCAGUGUCCGCACCCUCUACGACAAGCUGGAGGAUCAGAAUUUGCACCUGGCCUCUCAGCUGGCAAAGCACAGGAUGGACGUGCUGGUGUUCCACAACAGGAUCAGCCACAGCAUCCAGAGCCUGGUGGACACGGUGCAAGCUCUGGACUGGGAAGGCCUGAAAACCUUUUCCAGGCAAGGGAUCUGUGAGCAGAAAGCUGCAGAGCAGAGCUGGGCAGCAGUGGGUGCAGAUCACUGGAACAACAACUUCCAGGCAGGUGCCCCGUGGCAAGAGGUGACAGAGUUAAUGAGAGCUCUGGAAGUGCUGCUUGGGAACGUUCCUGACGGGAGCAGAGCUGCAAACCCAGAGAUGGAGCUCAGGAUCCAAGCACAGGCUGCAGUGGGAGCCGUGCCCUCCCUGCACAGCCUGGCCACUGAAAAUAAAUCAGAAGGGCAGGAUCCUGAGCUGUUCAGCAGGAAAGAUCCUUUUUCCAGCCUGCCUGGGCAUGAGGAGCAGGGUUUAGCUCUCCAGCUGGUUUAUCUGACUGAGCUGGAGGUCGAGGGUCUGGUGGCAGCUUCCCCCCUUGCCAAGACCCUGUGUGAGAUCAAGGAAGCUUUGGUCAAUCUGCAGCAACCCUCAGCCCUUGGUAAUUCAGACAGCAAACAUCAAACCAGCCUGGGGAGCUCAGCCCUCUUCUGACUGCUGGAUUCCUGGGAUGAAGCCCUGCAGCUGGAAUAAGGAGGAGUUGCAUUCUCAGAGCACUGAAGGGACAGAAGCAGGAGUAUUUCGUGUUCUGCACAGUAAAACAGCCACCAGCUCAUUUCCUGGAGGAGCUGAACUUACCCUGGGCAAUGGAUAAAGUUGGAUUGGGAAGGGAGGGGGUGUCUGGGACAGAGCAGCUUUACCUGAAGUGUCAGAACAGACACAGAUUUAAUUAAGGAUGUAUUUGGUCAAACAUGUGAUGAGGAAUCCAUAUUCUUUUUGCUUAACCUUGAAAUAUUUUCACAUUUGCUGUGGAUUGCAAUAGUUUGUAGGCUGGAGAAGGAGGCUGAAGUCCUUGGUGUUGUUAAGUUAAUAAAGCAAUAAACAGAAGACCA